rnacentral:rRNA from 1 species
AUUGAACGCUGGCGGCAGGCUUAACACAUGCAAGUCGAGCGGAGAGAGGUAGCUUGCUACUGAUCUUAGCGGCGGACGGGUGAGUAAUGCUUAGGAAUCUGCCUAUUAGUGGGGGACAACAUUUCGAAAGGAAUGCUAAUACCGCAUACGUCCUACGGGAGAAAGCAGGGGAUCUUCGGACCUUGCGCUAAUAGAUGAGCGUAAGUCGGAUUAGCGAGUUGGUGGGGUAAAGGCCUACCAAGGCGACGAUCUGUAGCGGGUCUGAGAGGAUGAUCCGCCACACUGGGACUGAGACACGGCCCAGACUCCUACGGGAGGCAGCAGUGGGGAAUAUUGGACAAUGGGCGCAAGCCUGAUCCAGCCAUGCCGCGUGUGUGAAGAAGGCCUUAUGGUUGUAAAGCACUUUAAGCGAGGAGGAGGCUACUUUAGUUAAUACCUAAAGAUAGUGGACGUUACUCGCAGAAUAAGCACCGGCUAACUCUGUGCCAGCCGCCGCAGUAAGAC